rnacentral:rRNA from 1 species
UACGUAGGGUGCGAGCGUUAAUCGGAAUUACUGGGCGUAAAGCGUGCGCAGGCGGCUUUGCAAGACAGAUGUGAAAUCCCCGGGCUCAACCUGGGAACUGCAUUUGUGACUGCAAGGCUAGAGUACGGCAGAGGGGGAUGGAAUUCCGCGUGUAGCAGUGAAAUGCGUAGAUAUGCGGAGGAACACCAAUGGCGAAGGCAAUCCCCUGCGCCUGUACUGACGCUCAUGCACGAAAGCGUGGGGAGCAAACAGG